UUGUCUGAUUUUGUGUUGUUAAAUUUCGAAACCUCUCUACAGCAGAGAUUCAUAAACAUUUUGUCUGGUUUUGCAAUGGAAGGAUCCCAGUUGAUUUUCUAGCUGAUCGUUUCGUUCCUAGCUAUCUUGGACAAACUGGGACUGUUGAGGACAUGCUUCAAGGUGUUAAUUAUGCAUUAGUUGGUUCUGCAGUUCAUCUUGUCUGUCUAGUGGAUCCCAACUGGUAUGGGCCAGCCUGUUUCGUUUGCUAUGCACGUUGAGCAAUUUGUUGAUACAUUCCAGCUGAUGAUACCGCUUCCAAUAUGAGACAGGAGCUCAAGAUUGAAUGCCUAGCUCUUGAAGCUCUUCUUGUUAGCGAAGGCACAUUAUUGUGCAACGCUUGAUGGGUUGCGGCUCGAGCAAAGCACUAAAGAGAAAGAGAGAAAAUCUGACCUCUUAAUGAAGAGGUUCAUUGGCUAAAAAGGAUUUGACGUGCUAUGUUUAUCUUCCAUUUGCGCAGACAACACAAAAUAAAGGGGAUGCUUAUUUGUUCACCUUAAUGUUAUACUAACUUAUGGUUUGAUGUUUCUAGGUUGAAGCUGGAACCGUAGUUGUUAAAGCAGUUAAACUUGAUGCUGUUCUUGGAGGCCGUGAUGUCCAACACCGGGAAAUUCAAGGCCAUGACUCUAACAAAAUUCUUGUCUUUUCUUCACUUCUUCAUCUGCUUCUGAUUUCUCUUCUUCUGAUUCCUCAAUCUUCUCAUUAUCAAUCCAAUCAUUUUCUGCAGCAAGGCCUAAUCUCUGCUGCUCCUCUCUAAUCCGAGUAACCAGCGUUGCUUCCUCUGCUCGUCUCAUCAACAUGACAAAUUAUUUUCUUUUCUUCACUUCUUCAUCUACUUCUGAUUUCUCUUCUUAUGAUUCCUCCAUCUUCUCAUUACCAAUCCAAUCACUUUCUGCUGCUCCCCUCUAAUCCGAGUAACCAACGUUGCUUCCUCUACUCGUCUCAUCAACAUAUCUAACCAAAGUUCUCGAGGCCUAGCCAUGUUCCUUCCCAUUAAUCCUGAAAUGUCUUGGCAUAUUUGUGGCGUACAUACGGCUCUCUAUCUCUCAUAACCUCCCUCUCAGAAAUACUAUCCUUCCUUCUCAUACAAGCCAGUCUUCUGUUCCACACCUCGAUUUGAACUCUUCUGAAGUCGGACUUAACUUCUUUUUUGACAAACAACCUUGUAGUCGGACUUAACUUCUUCUGCAGGUGUUUUACGUGCCAAUCAACCUUGUAGUCAUGUUUCAAAGCAUCAAACUCAGCCCGUUCAUCUACACUCAGAAAUCAAAGCAA